rnacentral:rRNA from 1 species
AGGUGUGAUCAUACCAGCACUAAUGCAUUAAAUCCCAUCGAAACUCAGAAGUUAAGCGCGCUUGGACGAAAGUAGUACUAAGAUGGGCUUUGUCACAGGACUUUCACAAACACGGGCA